rnacentral:tRNA from 1 species
GCCCGGUUAGCUCAAUCGGUAGAGCGUGAGACUCUUAAUCUCAAGGUUGCGGGUGAGUAGCAAGUCAUGAACAGGAAUGGUAGACGUCAAAGUAGUAAUCCGAUAUAUCUAGGUUCGACCCCCGCAUCGGGCU